rnacentral:lncRNA from 1 species
GAAACGCUGCGCGCGCGAGGUGGGCCCCUGUCUUCCAGCAGCUCCGGGCCUGCUCGCUAGGCCCGGGAGGCGCAGGCGCAGGCGCAGUGGGGGUGAGGGCGCGUGGGGGCGCACAGGUGGAGCCGGGUCCCCGACCCCCGAGAUCGGCAGGGCGCUGAAGACGUCCCUUCCACCCUCCAGCCUCUGGUGCACAUGGCUUCCUCCCCGGCGGUGGACGUGUCCUGCAGGCGGCGGGAGAAGCGGCGGCAGCUGGACGCGCGCCGCAGCAAGUGCCGCAUCCGCCUGGGCGGCCACAUGGAGCAGUGGUGCCUCCUCAAGGAGCGGCUGGGCUUCUCCCUGCACUCGCAGCUCGCCAAGUUCCUGUUGGACCGGUUAGGGGCCGGGAGAAGGGCUUGGGGGAGGGUACCCAGGCAGCAGCCCCUAGCCUCCUCUCCAGGGCCUGUCCUGCUGCUCUUUUCCACCCUCAGGUUUCUCACUUUACCAGGACGGCCUGUGUGACUUGUGGCCUCCGAGGGUCCUGCUCCCCU